rnacentral:rRNA from 1 species
CCUUGACAUACUAAGAACUUUCCAGAGAUGGAUUGGUGCCUUCGGGAACUUAGAUACAGGUGCUGCAUGGCUGUCGUCAGCUCGUGUCGUGAGAUGUUGGGUUAAGUCCCGNAACGAGCGCAACCCUUUUCCUUAUUUGCCGGCGGGUCAUGCCGGGAACUUUAAGGAUACUGCCAGUGACAAACUGGAGGAAGGCGGGGACGACGUCAAGUCAUCAUGGCCCUUACGGCCAGGGCUACACACGUGCUACAAUGGUCGAUACAAAGGGUUGCUACCUCGCGAGAGGAUGCUAAUCUCAAAAAGCCGAUCGUAGUCCGGAUCGCAGUCUGCAACUCGACUGCGUGAAGUCGGAAUCGCUAGUAAUCGCGGAUCAGAAUGCCGCGGUGAAUACGUUCCCGGGCCUUGUACACACCGCCCGUCACACCAUGGGAGUUUGUUGCACCAGAAGUAGGUAGUCUAACCGCAAGGAGGACGCUUACCACGGUGUGGCCGAUGACUGGGGUGAAGUCGUAACAAGGUAGGCGUAGAUGA